rnacentral:rRNA from 1 species
AAAUAGAACUUUGCAGAGAGAGUUAACAGGGCGUGAAACCGUUAAUUGAGAAACGAAUCGGAGCCACGAAGUCGUUUCGCAGAUGAGUUGGGGCUAAAUUCAGUUAACAUUUACCCAAGUGUUGGCGUACUUUUGGUUCAACCAUCAUCUUUGUAAGCGUACACUGCAACCAGUUAGACGAUCAACCAUGGGCCCAGUUGCAGAUUUGUCGCCAGAAGAAGUAGUGCUGUCAUUCGCAAGUUUGAUUGGUGUUGCUGGCUGGUCGGCAAGAGAACUAUGGUUGAACACUGACUGGCAAAAUGAAAAUCACUUUAACUAGUGUUUUGUAAACAAUGCGGCAGUUUGGAUGUGUGCCUACGCAAGCGUCCGCUGAGUUUUAAGUUCGGCACUCUUGAAUUUGGACUUGCUAGCUACCAGUGGGGCAACUCCUGGUGCUAGUAUAGCUUCCAUCUAAUCGGGUGUUGACUUGGCUUAGCGUCGUUCGUUUGUGAAACGAUUGGGCACGCAUGCAAGAUUGUUCGCCACUUGAUUGGCAGUGAGUAGGUCGGCUUUCCGAACGACCCGUCUUGAAACACGGACCAAGGAGUCUAAUUAGGCAUCAAGUCGAUCGGUCUUGAAUAGGCCAGUUAAGGCGUAGAGACAAGUGAUCCUUUACCCAAAAGGGCUUUUGGCGCAACUUGUGCCUGUUCGUAUAGCAAUGUAGCAAUAAUUGCUGGCGGAGCAAAGAGAUGCCUGAUUGGUACCCGAAAGAUGGUGAUGCCUGGGCAAAUUGAAGCCAGAGGAAACUCUGGUGGAGGAUUUAGUUCUGACGUGCAAAUCGAUCGUCAGCCUGGGUAUAGGGGCGAAAGACUAAUCGAACCAUC